rnacentral:rRNA from 1 species
AGAGUUUGAUCAUGGCUCAGGAUAAACGCUGGCGGCGCACAUAAGACAUGCAAGUCGAACGAACUUAACUCACUCUUUUAGUUUGAGAGCGGUUAGUGGCGGACUGGUGAGUAACACGUAAGCAACCUGCCUAUUAGAGGGGAAUAACAGUGAGAAAUCAUUGCUAAUACCGCAUAUGCUAACAGUAUCGCAUGAUACAGUUAGGAAAGGAGUAAUCCGCUAAUAGAUGGGCUUGCGUCUGAUUAGCUAGUUGGUGGGGUAACGGCCUACCAAGGCGACGAUCAGUAGCCGGACUGAGAGGUUGAACGGCCACAUUGGGACUGAGAUACGGCCCAGACUCCUACGGGAGGCAGCAGUCGGGAAUAUUGCGCAAUGGAGGAAACUCUGACGCAGUGACGCCGCGUAUAGGAAGAAGGUUUUCGGAUUGUAAACUAUUGUCGUUAGGGAAGAUACAAGACAGUACCUAAGGAGGAAGCCCCGGCUAACUAUGUGCCAGCAGCCGCGGUAAUACAUAGGGGGCAAGCGUUAUCCGGAAUUAUUGGGUGUAAAGGGUGCGUAGACGGAGGAGCAAGUUGGUUGUGAAAUCCCUCGGCUUAACUGAGGAACUGCAACCAAAACUACUUCCCUUGAGUGUCGGAGAGGAAAGUGGAAUUCCUAGUGUAGCGGUGAAAUGCGUAGAUAUUAGGAGGAACACCAGUGGCGAAGGCGACUUUCUGGACGAUAACUGACGUUGAGGCACGAAAGUGUGGGGAGCAAACAGGAUUAGAUACCCUGGUAGUCCACACUGUAGACGAUGGAUA